GUGCUUGCUUCGGCAGCACAUAUACUAAAAUUGAAAUGAUACAGAGAAGAUUAGCAUGACAUGCAAAUUUGUGAAGCAUCCCAUUUUUAA
rnacentral:snRNA from 1 species